rnacentral:rRNA from 1 species
UACGUAGGGGGCAAGCGUUUGUCCGGAUUUAUUGGGCGUAAAGAGCGUGUAGGCGGCCUGGGAGGUCCGUUGUGAAAACUCGAGGCUCAACCUCGAGACGCCGAUGGAAACCCCCUGGCUAGAGUCCGGAAGAGGAGAGUGGAAUUCCUGGUGUAGCGGUGAAAUGCGCAGAUAUCAGGAGGAACACCGGUGGCGAAGGCGGGUCUCUGGGCAGUAACUGACGCUGAGGAGCGAAAGCGUGGGGAGCGAACAGG